UGUUCUGUGGCUUAGUUGGUUAAAGCACCGGUUAAGCAAAUAUCUAGUCAUAGGUUCAAAUCCCAUCAUACCAC
rnacentral:tRNA from 1 species